rnacentral:rRNA from 1 species
AUUGAACGCUGGCGGCAUGCCUUACACAUGCAAGUCGAACGGUAACGGGCCUUCGGGUGCCGACGAGUGGCGAACGGGUGAGUAAUGUAUCGGAACGUACCUUUCAGUGGGGGGAUAACGUAGCGAAAGUUACGCUAAUACCGCAUAUUCUGUGAGCAGGAAAGCAGGGGAUCGCAAGACCUUGCGCUGAUUGAGCGGCCGAUAUCAGAUUAGCUAGUUGGUGAGGUAAAGGCUCACCAAGGCGACGAUCUGUAGCGGGUCUGAGAGGAUGAUCCGCCACACUGGAACUGAGACACGGUCCAGACUCCUACGGGAGGCAGCAGUGGGGAAUUUUGGACAAUGGGGGCAACCCUGAUCCAGCCAUGCCGCGUGAGUGAAGAAGGCCUC